UACGGAGGAGGCAAGCGUUAUCCGGAAUUAUUGGGCGUAAAGCGUCCGCAGGUGGCACUUCAAGUCUGUCGUCAAAGACUGGGGCUUAACCCUGGAAAGGCGGUGGAAACUGAAGCGCUAGAGUGCGGUAGGGGUAGAGGGAAUUCCCGGUGUAGCGGUGAAAUGCGUAGAGAUCGGGAAGAACAUCGGUGGCGAAAGCGGCUAUCUGGACGGUUUCUGACACUAAGACUCGAAAGCGUGGGGAGCAAACAGG
rnacentral:rRNA from 1 species